GGGGGGGGGGGGGGGGGGGGGGGGGGGGGGGGGGGCGGGCGGACGGAGGGGGAGCGUGCUUCGCUGAGGUGAGCGGCGGACGGGUGAGUAACACGUGGAUAACCGGCCUAUAAGGCUGGGAUAACGUCGGGAAACCGGAGCUAGUACCGGAUAAUAUUUUGAACCGCAUGGUUCAAAAGUGAAAGACGGUCUUGCUGUCACUUAUAGAUGGAUCCGCGCUGCAUUAGCUAGUUGGUAAGGUAACGGCUUACCAAGGCAACGAUGCAUAGCCGACCUGAGAGGGUGAUCGGCCACACUGGAACUGAGACACGGUCCAGACUCCUACGGGAGGCAGCAGUAGGGAAUCUUCCGCAAUGGGCGAAAGCCUGACGGAGCAACGCCGCGUGAGUGAUGAAGGUCUUCGGAUCGUAAAACUCUGUUAUUAGGGAAGAACAUAUGUGUAAGUAACUGUGCACAUCUUGACGGUACCUAAUCAGAAAGCCACGGCUAACUACGUG
rnacentral:rRNA from 1 species